GUCGAGAUACAUCCUAAACUACCCCUUGAAAUUCCUGUUACAACCCCUCUCACCUUGCGAUUUCCAUUUCCCCCAACUUCCCCCUUCUAUUCUUCAUGUUUCGGCUAGCACCUGACCCAACGCUAGCGCGCCUUCGUUCCCUCGCUCCAGAGCGCUAGAGGAGGAAAGAAUGGAUGAAAUCCAAUGAGAAAGGGAGGAAAGUGAACCACAAUGACCCAUUUCCUUCUCCCAUUCAUUGAAGUCGCCGACGUUCCAGGUCGAGUUAGUGGCUCCCAUCGGCACUAGCCGUUCUCCUAGACCGUCGGCGCUAUCCUUAGUGGCCAAAAUCUCGCAAAUAGAGAGAGAGAGAGUUUUUGGCCACCGGAGCUUCUAAGGCUGAUUCUAGCCAUCUCGACCACCACUCGAAUGAUCCAACACUCUCAAUGGACUCCCGUGACAUAUGCUUUGAUUUAACACCAUCCAUGCCUCAAGCCAACAAUGGACGGUGAAGGCACCCAAUGGACGGUGAGAUAUAUGGAUAAAAUAUAAAUGGAUAACUAGAGUAAAAAAAUUAAUGAAUUAAUUGCU
rnacentral:misc_RNA from 1 species